CUCCAGCCCCGGGACGUCUCCGGCGUAGGAGGGCCAGCGGGACGCCCCACCCUGUGCACCCUUCACGUGACCGGAUCCCCGCCGCCCGGGCCGCCAAGUGCGACCCCAGAGUUACGAAAUCUUCCUGGUGGAGAGCCAUCCCGCUCACUGUCAGAUAUAGUAUCAGUUAAGGACCCUACUCUAGUAGUUUAGGGGGCCGGCACCCAGUCUCGGCAGUGCAGGGGCGAUCUGGAUUUCCCCCCUCCUUCUGAAGCCCAAUCUCAGACCCCCUCCGGCUUCACCAGCUCGUUUUUCCACAGACCUUCCGACGCCGGAUUUUUUAUUGUGUUGUGGUGCUGUCAAGAGUAACUAACUCCACUCGCCGGACCUAGAAAAGAAUAACAGUAGUGACUCAUAGGGCACUUAGUCCGUGCCUGGCACUGUGCUCAAGGCAUCGCCUGUAUUUUCCAUUGAUUGUGUGUGUUAAUGUCUCAGUCGUGUCCGACUCUGCGACUCCAUGGACUGCGGCCCAGCAGCUCCUCUGUCCUUGGGAUUCUCCGGGCAAGAAUACUGGAGUGGGUUGCCAUGCCCUAUCCCUCCUCCAGGAGAGCUUCCCAACCCAGAGACUGAACCCGCGUCUCCGGCAUUAUAUGCAGAUUCUUUACCAUCUGAACCACAAGGGAGCCGGGUUUCAUUAACUCCUCAGAUACGAUUGACUACCCAUCUCAUGCCAGGGUCAGGGCAGGCGGUUCAACGAAAAGGUAAUUCCACAUGUUACAUACUUAGAUCGCAAAAAGUCUGUGCUGUUUGCCCCCCUCUCACAGUACAGACCAGGAAGACACAGGUACAUAUAUACACAGGAAGGAAAAACCGCUGGCUUCUGAACGUUAUACAGCCUGGAAGUAAGACACGUGAGACUGGGAGCUGCUUGACCCCGUGUGCUGCAUUCAAACACAAACAGCUAACGUUAAAAAUAUUAGCCGUCCAUACAAUCCCCUUAAAGAACACAGGAGCAAAUUGUUGCUGUAAAUCCGUAACAAACGUACUACCGAUAAUUACUUUCAAUCAAUCCCAUACAUACACACCCAAACCAUUCUACUUUUUCGAGUAUAAGGGGGACGGGCAGAUCGCAACUCCCAGGCAUCCCGCAAAGUAGGCGGGUCACCUUAGGGGCAACCUUUACCCGCUCAAAAAUUCGUCUCACAUUAGCAGUGAGGAUUCGGGCGUCACCCCGAAUCGUUAUUUUCC
ensembl:lncRNA